GUGGCUCAAGGACUCAUCUUGUUUACUACUGUACCUUGGGCCUGGCCCCGUGCCUGGGAGGUGAUAGUGACUGGGUAAGUACUCUGGCCUUCGGACACCCCUCGAGUCUUCCCUCCUCCCCAGGCAAGAUAGAGCCACUGAUAGGGCUUCAGAUUCCCUAACUCCACCCUUCCCGUCCAGCCUCCCUAAGAGGAGUCUCAGUUCCCAACUGUCUCCCCCCACUUAAGAACAGUGUUCUCUGGAGAGACUCCCACUGCCGGGUAAUGUCCCUAUUGGCCCUGAGCACUGGUAACUUGACAAGGGCUGACUUUACAUGAAAUUCAAAAUAGAACCUUUAGAUGUUGGUUUAACAUUAAACCUUAAUUUGUACUGAAAAUUAUUAAAAAAAAAUUUCUUGCUUUUUCUGCCUGCAAAAUUGUGAAUAAGUUCAUCACAGGUCAAUUUACCCUUGUUUCAGUGGGCUGGUGACCAGUGACCAGCGUCUGUCUGUCUGCUAGACACAGGUUACCUCCAGAUGAGCAUAAUCCCAUUCACCGUGUAUGGAUUCUACUAGAGUUUUGUUUUGUUUGUUUUUUUUACGAGCCAAGGUAGAGUUCUUGGAGCCAUGGAGAUGACCCAUGACCCCUACAUGUCAUGAUUUUCAAAUUAGGUCCGACCAGUGGGACAUGGGACCAGCCCUUUAUUGCAGGACAUUUUCCUUUUCUGAUUUCCAGGCACUAGAUGCUUCUAGCAGCCCCCAGUCACCCCAACAAUGAACCGAAAAGAAAGCCUCCAAAAUCCCCCUGGGUGGGGGAGCAGUUGUACCUCAGGUUAAGGAGCAUUGUUACGCUGUGGUUGAAGACAGGUUGAAAAAUGUUUGCAGGAAGGUCCUGCCUGCCCUGUCCUGCAGGUCACACCUACAAGCCCUUCCUGGGCAACAGAGCCCUGGGCUUCUCUCUCCCCUGAGUGACCGUGGUAUUAUUAGUACCACUCAUACAGCCCUCUGUCACACGGCAUGACUCGCUGUAUCAACACCUUUAAUAUUAAUUAACUCCGGGAGUUUGUUAUAGAACAUUUCACAAUCUGCCUGUGUCCCUCUGACUAAAUCAUAAGUUCCCCGAGGGCCAAACCAUGCUUUGCCUGGGGGAAAAGGCUAUUGGGCGGGAGGUGCUCAGGCGAGGGUAGUAGAAGGUGACCGCUCCCUGAAGCAUCAGGGCACCAAAGUGGGGCUGGGACCCAACUGCACACAGGGAGAGCCCAAGCUGUUCCCAGAGAAGGGACACCAUGGCCCUCCUUUGGAGAAUGGGACCACCUUCUUGAUGGAACUGGGGGGAAUAAAGUCCAAUAAAGAAAAAGACAGAAUGAUAGAGAAGUGACAAGGACCUUGCUGAGUCACGGGGGUCCACAGGGAGGGGACUGGUCCUCAGGGCAGAAGGACACUGGACCCAGAAGAGGCUGCUCCAUCUGCCCACCGAGAUCUCCAGCGUGGCCUUCAGGACCCUCGCAGCACAGCAUUGAGGAGGGGCGAGGCCACAGGGGGACAGAAACCAGGCAGAGGUGCUGUUUUCAAGUCAAGCGGGAGGCAGUCCUGAGCGAGGCUACCUAUGGAAAUGUGCAUUGAUGCAUAUUUUUAUAAACACAUCUCAGUAUCAUAGGAGGGACAGAGGCAGUGUUUGUGCUGGGGACUGAACCAGGGCCUCGUGCAUGCUAGGCAGGCAGCACCCAGCCCUGGAAGAACCCUUUGCGUCGGAGUCCUUGAAAAUGGACACGAACUGGGUCUGAGUAAAGGAUGGGACCCCCACGUGCAGGUGGAGGCCACAGACCCAGGAAGGAGCAAGGAGGUCCCUGGGGGAUGGGCGACGGAAUGUAGAGAAACUAAAGAAAAAUGCAAGUUGGAGGUGAUGGCCUCCCCCGCCCCCCAGCUGUACCAAAACCAAAAUGACUCUCUGGCCCUUGCCUCUCUAUGCAGUGGCAUUUAGGUGGCUUCCAGCAGCAGGUUUUGAACCUCUUUCACAAUGCAGAGAUUUUCAUCAUUGAAUUAAAAAAUGUCUUCUCCUUGUAUUUUACAGCUCUAGCCGGACAGGGCAUUUGAGGGCAGACUCCGGAAGCGGAGGUGAUUCUACCAAAGUGUCCAGUAAAGCAGAGUGCUGCCCUCAUUCAUGGUGUGGAGGUCAGUAGUAACCAAAGGGUUUAUCACCAGGAAUCCCCAGCCUGAAUGCAAAGGUUAGCCGAAAAGAAAGAAAAGGAGGGGGAAGCAACCCCAAACUGUAAGACCUGCCGUCUUCCUUUUCACAACCCUGGCAAAAACAAGCAGGAGACAAAUCCCAUUUCCAAGGGCAGCAAAAGCUCUGUCUCCUCCCUGACCUGAGCCCUCUCCAUGCAUCAUAAAUAUUUCCAUAGUCAUAAAUAUCACUGAUGAGGAGGCACAGGGCUCUUAAUUGGCUCCGAGUCAUUUCAUGGUGGAGGAAGCUGGGGGAAGCGCACUGAAUGAGAAUAAGACAGGGCACAGGAUCUCCCAGGAGGAAAUUAAAGUCUAAUCUUCUAUCUGUGAUGAUGUUGUAUCUACGGGUUGAUUUAAACCAGGAGAGAACUGGCUCGAGAUCCAUUGGGAGAUGCAUCUUCUCUCUCUGAGUUUAUUUUCUAUCUCAGAAAUGCCAAUUCCCCCCUGGCUGAACCCUGUGGCAUGUUGAUGAUGAUCUACCAUAAAGGAAGAUGGGAUAUAACUAGCAUUUAUUAAAAACUAACAGCAGAGGUCAGGCACGGUUUACACAUACCUGUAAUCCCAGUAGCCCGGGAGGCUGGGGCAGGAGGAUCCAGAGUUCAAAACCAGCUUCAGCAACUUACGAGGUCCUAAGCAACUCAGCAAGACCCUGACUUAAAAUAAUAUUUUAAAAAGGGCUCAGUGGUUAGGCACCAAACCUAACAGCAGGAUAAGGAGAUAAACAGGUGGUUGUAUCGUCACGCAAUGAAAUACUAUUCAGCGAUAAAAGGAUAUACCCACUGAUUGCACAACAUGGAUGAGUUUCAAAACAUUAUGCACAGUGAAAGGAGCCUCAUAUAAAAGAACGCACAGCCCAUGAUGGGAAGCAGGUGUCGCUGUGCACGGUUGCCAGUUUAGCAAAGUCUAGUGAGACAGAAGGUAAAGGAGGCUCAUUAUACAGCUAAGCAGCAAGGGACAACAGAAGCCCAGCACCUGCUGAGGGCCACCCACAAGGCUCAGGAGAGGAGUCUCUACUAUGCAUGUCCCACGACAGCUGAAGGAUCCCCAAAAGCAACCCACCCAACCUACCCUUGCUUUUAUACCCCAGGGAAUGUUAAAAGACAUCCUGUUUGGGAUGGGGUCAGGGGGUCGGGGAGUGGGGAACGGAGCCUGGGUUGGUCUAGCCAGUUCCUUCUUAUCAAGAUGUUCAUUCACUGUGAAUCCUACAGUUAUUUUUGCGAACCACAGGUGAGAAAGGGGAGAACCGGGUUGAUCCAAAGCUCCCUGGAGAACUGGCUUGCAUACGCUUCCACUUAUAUGAUGUUCUGUAACAGGUAAUCGAGGGAGGAAAAAACUCUGAAUGAUAAUUUGGCAGCAGGCCUAGGGGUGGAGAGAGGGAACGACUAGAAAAGGGUACAGGCAUAUUUUCUGUGGAGAUGGAAAUGUUUUGUAUAACUUGAUGGGAGUUUGGAUCACACCGGUAUUUGCAUCUGUCAAAACUUAGCAAAUGUACACUUAUGGUUCAUGCAUUUCUUUGUAUCUGAAUUUUAUAUCCAGCCAGGUGUGAUGGUGCAUGCCUGUUACCCCAGCAACUCUGGAGUAAGGCAGGAGGAUUGCAAGUUUGAGGCCAGCCUCAGCAACUUAGCAAGGCCCUAAGCAACUUAGUAAGACCCUGUCUCAAAAAAAUUUUUUUAAACAAUUUUUUUUUGAGAGAGAGAGACAGAGGGAGAGAGAGAGAGAGCGAGAGAGAGAAUUUUUUUAAUAUUUAUUUUUUAGUUUUCGGGGGACACAACAUCUUUGUUUGUAUGUGGUGCUGAGGAUGGAACCCAGGCCGCACACAUGCCAGGUGAGCGCGCUACCGCUUGAGCCACAUCCCCAGCCCCCCAUUUUUUUUUAAAAGGGUGGGGGUGGCUGGAGAGGUAGCUACCCCCUUUUUUUAAAAGGGUGGGGGUAGCUCAAUGGUAAAGUGACCCUGGAUUUAAUCCUCAGUAUGGGGAUGGGGAUGGGGGUGGGGGGGAAUGCGACAAAUAGAUAUUACAUCCAUUGAAAACCCUAAAAAAAUACUGAACUCUAGCUAAGUAUACACAAGCCAAAGUAUUUAGAGGAAAGGGUACCAAUGCCAGCAAUUUACUUUGAAAUGCAUCACUAAAAUAAGGUAAGGUAGACAAAGGGACAGAAAGAUGGAUAAUUGAAAAGCAAUUUCAGUGAAAUGUUAAUGGUAGAACCUAGGUGAUUAGCAUACAGCUAUUGGCUGUAAAAAUGCUUUCUACUUUACUAUGUGUUUUCCAUUUUUCACAAUAAAAUGGAAACAAGAGUAGUGCUGCUUAAAAAAAAAAAAAAACAGCAAUAAUUCCACCCCAUAAAUGAAUCCCAGACUUUUCCCAGUCCUGGUUCUGGGGAUGUAACCAUGGUAGAGCCCUUGCCUAGCAUGUGCGAGGCUGGGUUCAAUCCCCAGCUCUGCAAAAUAAAUAAAUAAAUAUUUUUAAAAUAAUAAUAAAUCAAAGUCACAACUAUUUACUAGGUUCCUAGGUGACCAAGUGCUUUAUAAACAUUUUCCUAAUCCUCCUGAUGUUAUAGAUUAGAUGAUUAACAUUCAGAGACACUAAGUGACUUGCCCAGAGACACACAGUUGAAAACAUCAAAGCCAGACUUGCCUGAAUCUUCUACACGCUGUUGCCUAGCAAGACUCCGGAUGGGGAUGGAGGGACGUCCCAUUGACGCCUACCCUCCAGAGGCAGGGUCUGGCAGUGGCAUUUGGACGAACAUACUUUCUUCUCAGCUGAUGCCUGUCAGCCUGCAAUCUCAGCUCUGAAUUUGAUCAAACUCAAAACGAAGAGGAAUGCGUUGCUGGUCCUCGACCACCAGUCAGCUCAUCAAGAACUCCAUACAUAUUAACCGAACUCCUACAGUGUAGACGGAAUUCAGAAACAGUUAAGGCACGGUCUUAAAUUUCAAGAAGCAGCCAGAAUGGCUCACCAGUCUGGAGAAAUGGACUCUCUAUCUAAUAAGAGCUUAAACUAGACUAUCCCUCAGGAUCCCCACCCCCACUCUCCUGUUUCUGUGACUUUUGAUCCAUAGUUAAUUUUAAAGGCCAAAGGACUGGGUGCAGAUAGCAUAUGCUAAUGGUGCCGAUGAGGAAAAGUCCCUCAGGCUAGGGGGAAUGUGUCCCCAGGGGAGAGGGAGCUGGUAUUCCAGAGGCAGGAAAUGCAAACACAGGGCCAGGAAUUGGAGCAUGGAGGGGGGUUGUAGGGAAGGAGAGUGGGUUAAUAUCUAGGGAGCUGGGACAGGGCCCAGGAAGAGGUUUUGACCUUAACUCUGAGAAGAAGGAUCCCCCAGAGGCCUUAGGCAUGAGGGUGUGAUGAGAUGCUAUCUCAGGAUGAUUAAUCUAUUUAUUUGGAGUAGAGGGGAAAAAAAACAGUGGCACAAGUCAUCACAAAUAUCACAUCAUUCAAAAAAACAAUGUGGUAGGCUCCAUAAGGUCCUCAAGUCUGUGUCUUUUAAGCUAGGGUCCUGGGAAGGGCCUCUGGACACUCAACAGGCCUACUCAGCUCCCCUCUCCCAUUGCCAACCUGAUUUUUAUGGGUUUAAUACACAGGAGUUCUGGGUAAAAUUUAUUUUGAAACAAGGAUGCAACAGACCUCAACUGAACAGUAUCAGUUAAUUACAGAAAUAAGUAGCCAGACAAAUGCGUCAGGAGGGGGUUGUCUGAGGAGGAAUAACUUGCUGGACAUUCAGCUCUCACAGCUAUUUGAGGUGAGGCCACAUUCUCACCUGGGAGACUGGGCUCUGACAAGAACAGGAAUUCCAGGAAGGCUGGUUUGCAGGGCUACGUGUCUGGGCCCCUGGAGCCCUGAGCCACCUCAUUUCCUUCAACCUCCUGGUCCUACCUCAUUUCCUACAAAGCCCCCACCCCGGCUGCCCUGCCCCAUGGGGCUGUCUGGACUUCAUUCCCUUGGCAGCUCUGCAGCCUCAGCCUGUAGAAUUUCCUCCUCCGUGGAACUGAGGCAGGAGGAAUCAAAAAUAUAAUAAAACAUAAAAAUAAAGCCAUUUUGGAGGGGAGCAGAGCCUCUCCCUAACCCCUCUCCCCUUCUUUGUGUUACUUCAAACACGCAUUUGAGAGCUUUUUGCUGGGAGACUAGACCAGGGUAACAAAAAUAAUAAACUUGGGGAAGUUACACGGGGGCUAGAUUCUUCAGAGUAUGUCUUUUAAGUUCCUUGACUUCAGNGAGAAUUUUUUUUAAUAUUUAUUUUUUUAGUUCUUGGCAGACACAACAUCUUUUUUUUGUAUGUGGUGCUGAGGAUGGAACCCAGGCCGCACACAUGCCAGGUGAGCGCGCUACCGCUUGAGCCACAUCCCCAGCCCCCCAUUUUUUUUUAAAAGGGUGGGGGUGGCUGGAGAGGUAGCUACCCCCUUUUUUUAAAAGGGUGGGGGUAGCUCAAUGGUAAAGUGACCCUGGAUUUAAUCCUCAGUAUGGGGAUGGGGAUGGGGGUGGGGGGGAAUGCGACAAAUAGAUAUUACAUCCAUUGAAAACCCUAAAAAAAUACUGAACUCUAGCUAAGUAUACACAAGCCAAAGUAUUUAGAGGAAAGGGUACCAAUGCCAGCAAUUUACUUUGAAAUGCAUCACUAAAAUAAGGUAAGGUAGACAAAGGGACAGAAAGAUGGAUAAUUGAAAAGCAAUUUCAGUGAAAUGUUAAUGGUAGAACCUAGGUGAUUAGCAUACAGCUAUUGGCUGUAAAAAUGCUUUCUACUUUACUAUGUGUUUUCCAUUUUUCACAAUAAAAUGGAAACAAGAGUAGUGCUGCUUAAAAAAAAAAAAACAGCAAUAAUUCCACCCCAUAAAUGAAUCCCAGACUUUUCCCAGUCCUGGUUCUGGGGAUGUAACCAUGGUAGAGCCCUUGCCUAGCAUGUGCGAGGCUGGGUUCAAUCCCCAGCUCUGCAAAAUAAAUAAAUAAAUAUUUUUAAAAUAAUAAUAAAUCAAAGUCACAACUAUUUACUAGGUUCCUAGGUGACCAAGUGCUUUAUAAACAUUUUCCUAAUCCUCCUGAUGUUAUAGAUUAGAUGAUUAACAUUCAGAGACACUAAGUGACUUGCCCAGAGACACACAGUUGAAAACAUCAAAGCCAGACUUGCCUGAAUCUUCUACACGCUGUUGCCUAGCAAGACUCCGGAUGGGGAUGGAGGGACGUCCCAUUGACGCCUACCCUCCAGAGGCAGGGUCUGGCAGUGGCAUUUGGACGAACAUACUUUCUUCUCAGCUGAUGCCUGUCAGCCUGCAAUCUCAGCUCUGAAUUUGAUCAAACUCAAAACGAAGAGGAAUGCGUUGCUGGUCCUCGACCACCAGUCAGCUCAUCAAGAACUCCAUACAUAUUAACCGAACUCCUACAGUGUAGACGGAAUUCAGAAACAGUUAAGGCACGGUCUUAAAUUUCAAGAAGCAGCCAGAAUGGCUCACCAGUCUGGAGAAAUGGACUCUCUAUCUAAUAAGAGCUUAAACUAGACUAUCCCUCAGGAUCCCCACCCCCACUCUCCUGUUUCUGUGACUUUUGAUCCAUAGUUAAUUUUAAAGGCCAAAGGACUGGGUGCAGAUAGCAUAUGCUAAUGGUGCCGAUGAGGAAAAGUCCCUCAGGCUAGGGGGAAUGUGUCCCCAGGGGAGAGGGAGCUGGUAUUCCAGAGGCAGGAAAUGCAAACACAGGGCCAGGAAUUGGAGCAUGGAGGGGGGUUGUAGGGAAGGAGAGUGGGUUAAUAUCUAGGGAGCUGGGACAGGGCCCAGGAAGAGGUUUUGACCUUAACUCUGAGAAGAAGGAUCCCCCAGAGGCCUUAGGCAUGAGGGUGUGAUGAGAUGCUAUCUCAGGAUGAUUAAUCUAUUUAUUUGGAGUAGAGGGGAAAAAAAACAGUGGCACAAGUCAUCACAAAUAUCACAUCAUUCAAAAAAACAAUGUGGUAGGCUCCAUAAGGUCCUCAAGUCUGUGUCUUUUAAGCUAGGGUCCUGGGAAGGGCCUCUGGACACUCAACAGGCCUACUCAGCUCCCCUCUCCCAUUGCCAACCUGAUUUUUAUGGGUUUAAUACACAGGAGUUCUGGGUAAAAUUUAUUUUGAAACAAGGAUGCAACAGACCUCAACUGAACAGUAUCAGUUAAUUACAGAAAUAAGUAGCCAGACAAAUGCGUCAGGAGGGGGUUGUCUGAGGAGGAAUAACUUGCUGGACAUUCAGCUCUCACAGCUAUUUGAGGUGAGGCCACAUUCUCACCUGGGAGACUGGGCUCUGACAAGAACAGGAAUUCCAGGAAGGCUGGUUUGCAGGGCUACGUGUCUGGGCCCCUGGAGCCCUGAGCCACCUCAUUUCCUUCAACCUCCUGGUCCUACCUCAUUUCCUACAAAGCCCCCACCCCGGCUGCCCUGCCCCAUGGGGCUGUCUGGACUUCAUUCCCUUGGCAGCUCUGCAGCCUCAGCCUGUAGAAUUUCCUCCUCCGUGGAACUGAGGCAGGAGGAAUCAAAAAUAUAAUAAAACAUAAAAAUAAAGCCAUUUUGGAGGGGAGCAGAGCCUCUCCCUAACCCCUCUCCCCUUCUUUGUGUUACUUCAAACACGCAUUUGAGAGCUUUUUGCUGGGAGACUAGACCAGGGUAACAAAAAUAAUAAACUUGGGGAAGUUACACGGGGGCUAGAUUCUUCAGAGUAUGUCUUUUAAGUUCCUUGACUUCAGUCCCCUUUAUAGAAGAUAAUAAUUGAUAAAUCUAUUUUUAAAUAGUUUCAUUCAGACCUGACUGUUAGGUGCCAUGGAGGAAAAAUGUUAGUCCUCACCUGGUCUCAGGUGCUUUCUGACCCUCUGUCCCAGAUGAAAAGGGUCCUUAACGGGUCCUCCAAAACUCAAUGGCUCAGCAUUAUAAUCACUCUCCAUCUCCUACGGUUUCCGUGGGUCAGGUACCUGAGAGGCACCCAGCUGAGUGGUUCUGGCUCAGGGUCUUGGCAGCUGCAGUAAGUGAGCUGGGCAAUCACCUGAAGGCUCCCUGCCUGUCAGUGGCAAGUUGGCUGCUGGCUUGUCCAGGAGCUCAGUCCUCUCCACUUGGGCCUCUCCUGCCGAGAGUCCUCUUGGUGUGGCCACCAGCCUCCCCAGAAUAAGAAAUCCAAGAUGCCAAGAUAGACCUUGGAAUGACUCUUAUGGCCUUGCCUUGAAUGUCAUUCUGUAGCACUUGUACCUUAUUUUACUGGUCUUGGAGGGCCAGCUCUGACUCCACGUGCAAGAAGAGGGCUACAUGAGGAGGCCCGGGUCACUGGAGGCCAUCUUGGAGUCUGGCUCACCACACUGUAGAGGCAUCCAAAGAAGAUCAGGCUCAAAGAGAAAGAAAAGGCAGCCCCUUCAUGCUCUGGAAUGCACAGUAAAUAUUGAGUGAGCAAGACAGACAUAAUCUCUGCCUUCUUGAAGCUUGCGAUCUGGUGGGAAUGACAGGGUUCAUACAAAUAAUGGCAUUUGGAAUAAAAUCCAAUCUCCUUAACUUUGAUCCUCCCUACUUUUUUUUUAGAAAAAUUUUUUAAAUAUAUAUUUUAGUUGUUGAUGGACCUCCUCCCACUCCAAUAUAAACUGCAUGAGAACGCGGGUUUUGUUAAACCUCCUUCCUUACUCUCUGUCCCAAGGCUUGGGACACCACUUAUUAUAUAUGAAGCAAAAAAUGUAUAUCCUAAUGAGUGAAUGAAGUACCCACUUUCUGACCAAGCUGAACAUAUUCUUCCUUCUAGAAUAUUGUAAACUCCAGUACCAGCCCUGCUGCUUGGCCAUUUUGCAGAUCAGACAAACCUUGGUAAAUUGCAGACCUAUUCUAAGAUCUAACUUUGCUGACUUUUUGAGCAAAUGGUAUAUCUUGGCCUCACCUGAUUCCCCACCCACUUGGAGAUUGGAUUGAACCAGCCCGGGCUGACGGCCUUAUUUGUAUUCUUCCUUGGAGCCCGGGCUCCAUUUCGGAUUGCCUUUGCCUGGUUUCCCAUCCAACCUCCCUCCCUCCCCCAAGGGAAGGUUGAUUCCAGCCUUGUUUUGCUACACUUGUGUUUUUAGCUUUCCUGAGUUGAAAUAUUGCAAACAGUUGCUCAUUAGCAUCCCAGCUUUCCUGCUUUUCAGGGGAAACAGCGUGAUGAACAGGGACCCCACGCAUAUUUAUUUUGAAAAUAUGUUUUUUAAUUCGAAAGCAAAUGGACACUGGCGGUCCACAGGUCAUUUCACCUGCUGUGGCAUGUGAUUAGUGAGGCCUUUUCUCUCUGGGUGGUACUGCUAGCUAAUGGACUCAUGCCCCAUAUGUAUGUUUGUCUUCAGUUAAUUAAAAUUUUGCCAAAUCUUCCCUCUGCCCUUGCGCACAGCAAGGCCAAGCCUUGGCUUGUGGCACUGAUCCGGGCUGGCAAGCUGGAUGGGGGCGGUCAUCCUAUUAAAUAUUAAUCUAGGAAGGCAAUCAGGCCUGUGGGCUUCCACCCCUGAGGUUCUCCCGCUGGGAAGUCACAGAUCGAUGCCAGAGCUCAGCGCCUGUGGCAGCUCUCCCUGCCAGACCUGAGUCAGAGUCAGACGCAAUUUUUCGGAAUGGUUUGACGAUCAAUCUGAGCAGAAUUCUGAAAGAUCUCUCUUAAAAAUUGGAAUGAAUUACACACACAGGUACCCUGGAAAGGGAUGUUAACCAUCACAUGAAAGUGCACCUUAUAAAUGACGAAUGGGACAGUUUGCCAACAUUUUUUUUUUAAAGUUUGGGGUGCCCCGUGCAAAAAUGGUGCACAAACACAGUUUGUGUUAGCUGCUUGAAAUUCUGUAAUCCCAGCAGCUCAGGAGGCCAAGGCAGGAGGAUCGUGCGAGUUCAAAGCCAGCCUCAGCAAAAGCAAAGCAGCUCAGUGAGACCCUGUCUCUAAAUAAACUACAGAAUAGGGCUGGGGAUGUGGCUCAGUGGUUAAGUGACCCUGAGUUCAAUCUCCAGUACCACUAUCACACCCCCCCCCAAAAAAAAGUGAAUGGACCUAUUUGCCAAUUUUUUUUUUUGUUAUGUUUGGGGUCAGGUAAAGAUGAGUAAAGGCAUCCUGCACUUCAGAUGCCACUGUUGAAAAUCCAUCUCUCCAUCCAAGGAUAAGAGAGGAGGCGAAGAUUUGAAUUGGCCCCAACUAAUGAAACCUCCACUGCUCCCUGUGCAGAAAUGUGCAAGUUGCUGACUCACAAGUUCACCUUCCAGCCCUCUGCCCUUCAGUCACUUCCAUCAAAUCAUUUCAGCAAAUACCUUCUGCUGCCAAACGUGCAAGAUAGAAAAUGCACUCUAGUGUGGGUCGAAUUGAGUCCCCAAGAAAGAUAUAUAUUGAAGUCCAGUACCUGUCAACACGACCUUAUUUGGAAAUUGAACAUUUGCAGAUGUAAUUAGUUAAGACAAGUGGAUCUUGAUCCAAGGACUGGUGUCCUUAUAAGAAGACUUAACAGAGUCACAAGGACACACCAGAGAUUGCCAUGUGAGGAGGGAAGUAGAGAUUGGAAUGGUGCAUCUGCAAGCCACAGACCUGGGGGGGGGGGGGAUGUCUGCAGUCACCAGACACUAAGGAGAGGAAAGGAAGCCCCUCCCCUAGAGCCUUCAGAGGGAACCAGCCAUGCUGGCACCUCAAUCAGCUUCCAGCUUCCAGAGCUACGAGUGAACUUCUGUUGUUAUGGCAGUUACGAAACUAACACACACUUUACUCCUGGCCCUGCUGCUGCCAACCCCCAACCCUGGCUGCUUGUCCUCUCUGCAGACAGGCUCAGUCACCCUGAUCCUCUGCCCUGCUUGGGAUGUCAAGGACAACAGAAUCUCAAUUUUGGUUUACAAAGUGAGGAAUGAGCCUAAGAAGAAAACCUCACGGUACCUCAAAUCUUGCUGAUGAUUUUCAAAACACCUCAGUCCACGUUCUUUUUUUUUUUUUUUAAGUACCAGGGAUUGAAGCUAGGGGGGCACUUAACCUUGGAGCCACCUCCCCAGCCCUUUUUUGUACUUUAUUUAGGGACAGGGUCUCACUAAGUUGCUUAGAGCCUUGCUAAGUUGCUGAGGCUGGCUUUGAACUCACAAUCCUCCUGCCUAGCCUCCCGAGUGCUGGGAUUACAGGCCUGUGCCACCACGCCUGGCUCAGUUCUCAGUCUUGCCAAGUUGGAGGUCAGUAAGCAUAAGAAGAUCUCUCUUUAAUGAUGAGGACGUUGCUCAGCCUCAGGAGCCUUCACCCCAAUUCAAGUCUCAUGAGCUGGCAUCAUCAAUACAGAGAAGAGGCACUGGCACGACUUUGUACUGAUCCUGGAACAUAUUUCAGAAACUGAAUUUUAUAUUUUGGACUCUUUGUUCUUCUAGAAGUUGGAUGUUAGGCUCUGAGGGCGAGCUCAGUGGAACAGCACUUGCCUAGCAAGCACAAAGCCCAAGGUUCCAUUCCCAACAACACGGAAAGAACAAAAAGAAGAUCAACCAUUUACUUUUGCUCCCUACCCAAUCCCUCCAGAAUUAGGAAAAGGCCAAAUGUCACCAGAAAGGUGACACAGGUGAAUUCAGAAACACUGUUAAUCAACUGGAUGGAAUUGCCAUCUGUAGACUGUUUCAUCUCACAACAGCAGAAUUCACAUUCUUCUCAAGCUCAUAUGGAACGUUUACUAAGGUAUACCUCACCUUGAACCAGAAAUCCUGUCUGCUCUCAAACCACAAUAAAAUUAAACUAAAAUUGAACUAAACAUAUCUGGAAAAUACCAACAUACUUGGAGAUUUAACAACAUUUCAAAAUAACACCUGGGUCAGAGAAUAAAUCUCAUAAGAAAUUUUAAAUAUUUUAAACUAUAUAACAACUUACCAAAAUUUGUAGAAUGAAGCAAAAGCACUGUUUGCUGAAAAAUGUAUAGCAUUGAAUGUAUAUAUCAGAAAAGAAGAAAUAUCUAAAAUCUAUAAUCUAAACUUCCACUUAAGGAAAGUAGAAAAAGAAGAUCAAAUUAAGCCCAAAAUAAACAGAAGAAAAAAAAUAGUGUGGGGCUGG
rnacentral:lncRNA from 1 species